rnacentral:lncRNA from 1 species
UCCUCUUAUCUCUCUCUCAUUCCGAGACAACCACCAUGAAGACCUACCUCUAUUCUCACAACAAGGUCGACUACAACAACAACAACAAAACCUUGCGGCUGCACUGCUCCAAUCAGCGAGCUCCGGCGAAGCAAGCAAAACUUCAACGUAGCAGCGAUAUGCACAGAUCCUUUUAGAUUAUUUAUCAAUGUUCUCCGACAAGCAAAACUCGAAUAUCAUUUGACAAGCUCCCGCUAUCAAUCUUCAUCUUUG